rnacentral:misc_RNA from 1 species
GAAAUGCGAUAAGUAAUGUGAAUUGCAGAAUUCAGCGAAUCAUCGAAUUUUUGAACGCACAUUGCGCCUCAGGGUAUUCCUUGAGGCAUACCUGUUCGAGCGUCGUUUAGACCAUAAGGCUUUGCCUUGCGUUGAGCGCUGGAGUUAUAUCCAGCGGUCCAAACAUGUUGGCGUCGUAGUUUGACCAAGACACACACAAGUGAGACUGGUUCGGAUGGAACGAUUUGCCUUGAAUCAACUGUUUCCUUUUUGGAAACGUAGGUUCGACCUCGGAUCAGGUAAGACUACCCGCUGAACUUAA